AAUAACAGUUUAUUACACAGCAGGCACAGCCCGGCUUAUCGCCACAGACAGGAAAUUGCUGCGCAGAAACUGCAUGUUUCACUUUUAAUAAGUUUGGCAAUAAAAUGUCUCAUCAAACGAGGCCAUGACAGAGCUAUAAUGAAGCCUCCGUGCAGCCCCUAAUUGCUUACCGCUCUCCUGGGGGCGAGCCAGCAAAGCAGGGUGGGCUGGGUUUGCUUUCCUGCUGCCCCCACGGCCCCAUAGCAGCAUCACCCCGCGCUCCCCACCCACCGUCCCCAUUGCCAUAGGAUGUCCCCAACCCCAGGGAGAGGGCAGGGAAUGGGGACGGCCAGCAGCACGCAGGUGGUUAAUAGGAGAAACGGAGAAGCGUUGGGGCUGGGAUUGGGAAAUGAGACAUUUUGGAGUCGCAGCAGGGAUGUGCUGGUGCUGGCAGGGGUCCUGGCCAGGCGAGCAGCUUUGUUCAUCUCAGCACGACGCUCGGGGACUUCACCUGGAAUUGCUGAUCCGCAUUCAUAAACAUGAUCGCGUUAAUUGACCGCCGCUGCCGCCUCCCAGUGCAGGGACUUGGCGUGCGCUCAGCUCCCAUCCCAAACAUCCCAUCCCUACGCCUGCAGCCACCACACGUGGGCAGGGACACGGCUGGGGACGGGGGAGGGCAGAGGACAAACUUGGCCCGCAGCCACCCAUGGGCACCCUCCGCAGAGCCCCGCGUUAGAUAUAAAUCACUGAAAUCCUCUCAAAGGGACGUAGAUCUUUGCAGAAAGCCCCGCAGGCACGGGCAGGGAUGGCCAGGGGCAGACACCUUGCCCAAAGAACGACCCAAAGGCUCUUCUUGCAGGGGCAGGAGAGGGGACACAGCAACCCGGUGCUCCGUCUGAGCCCGGGAUUGGAGCGGGGCCAGCCUCGUAAAUUAUUCAUCCUGCACAUUCACCCUGUUAUUCACUCCAUGAUCCGCCCCGAGUUUUACCGAUUCGGUUAUUAUUUCCAAUAGCACAAAUGCUGCAGAAACAUCCCGGGGCUCCAUCGUGCUCUGCACGCACCGCAGCACUGCGACACCCCGAGCAGUGCCAGCAGCACUGUGCCCCACACCACCCUUCUCCAAGGGAGCUCCCCCUGCCAUCUCCCUCCCACCCGGCUUCCCAUAUUCUCCCUCGUAUUGGACGGUCCUUUUUGCCCCUUUGCAACUCUUCCUCCCUCUGCGCUGUGGGGUGAGCACAGCCCACUGCUAACCCAGGGUCAGUGGGACCGGAGGAGCACUCACGUGGACCAAUUUAAAGCAAUUUUGACUCUUCUGACUUUGAUGGAGACGAAUGGCUGCUGUUCGCCUGCAUCCUGACCUGCAGAAAGGAGGCAGGGCAGAGGGUGAGGGCGCUCCACCUGCAUCCCCACACCGGUGGGUGACAUCCGCGUGGCGCUCACGGGACGAGGACGGCCGUGGUGCCCUCUGGAAGACUAGUGAUUUUGUUGUUGUAUGGCUCAUCCCACCACAACAAGUCACAGUCUGCCUUAGGGCGCACGGCCCCGCCGGCGCUGCAGGAGGUCUCCCAGCCCCACGGUGAGCAAUGCGGUUGGGCUGCUCCCGGAUCCCUCUCCACUUCUGAUCACCUCGGACGUUGCUUUGGUGACAACCCGGAGCAAAGCAACGAGAGGUUGGUCUGAAACACCACUGCUGCUGCAGCUGGAGCUGCCCCGCCGCUGGGAACUGCCCCCAAGGAUGGGCACCCCACAUCACUGCCCCUCAGCUCUGAUUGCGUCCCCAGCAGCAGCUCCCUGCACUACAGCCCUACGGGCAGGGUACCUAUAGCCAAACAGAAGCACAGAACGGUUGGGUUGGAAGGGACCUUCAAGCCACGUCCCAACUCCCUGCCAUGCACUGCUUGGCACCACCAGACCCGGCUGCCAGGGCCCCACCCAGCACAGCCCUGUGCACUUUCAGGGAUGGGGCACCCACAGCUCCUAUGCAGACACCCGUUCCAGUGCCCGCAUUACCCUCAGAAUCAAGAACUUGUGUUUAAGCUGGAACACCCCACAGCUGGCACAUGCUAUAGGCAGAGCACCCUACAACCUGGACCAUCCUACAACCACAGCACGCACGCUGAACCCCCCGCGCCAUAUCAGCGGU
rnacentral:lncRNA from 1 species